UGUAGGGUGGUGAAACUGGCAGACACACCUCCUUGUCUCGGUGGCGGAGAAUCUGGGAAUCCGGUAACGGGAUAACCACUCCUUGGAGGUUCGAUUCCUUCCCCUACAG
rnacentral:tRNA from 1 species